rnacentral:rRNA from 1 species
AUUGAACGCUGGCGGCAGGCCUAACACAUGCAAGUCGAGCGAGCGGCGGACGGGUGAAUAAUGUCUGGGAAACUGCCUGAUGGAGGGAGAUAACUACUGGAAACGGUAGCUACUACCGCAUACCAUCAGAUGUGCCCAGAUGGGAUUAGCUCGUAGGUGGGGUAACGGCUAACCUAGGCGACGAUCCCUAGCUGGUCUGAGAGGAUGACCGGCCACACUGGAACGGAGACACGGUCCAGACUCCUACGGGAGGCAGCAGUGGGGAAUAUGUCACAAUGGGCGCAAGCCUGAUGCAGCCAUGCCGCGUGUAUGAAGAAGGCCGUCGGGUUGUAAAGUACUUUCAGCGGGGAGGCGUUACCCGCAGAAGAAGCACCGGCGAACUCCGUGCCAGCAGCCGCGGUAAUUC